rnacentral:misc_RNA from 1 species
AAGUCGUAACAAGGUUUCCGUAGGUGAACCUGCGGAAGGAUCAUUACCGAGUGGCGCGAAAUUCCUGUCGUGAGACGGGGAAGCUACCCGACCUUUUGUCAUUUUGUCGAGUCUGGCUGGCGGGAUUGCAUUCGUGAGAAGCGAAUGUGGAUUUCGGCAGACGGACCAAAACUUCGGCGGAAGAGGUAGGCGUUGACCUGCCCGCCGCCGGCCGUAGAAGACAAUACACAUUCUUGAGAGCAAACUGAAGUCUAAGACGAUACUUGAAAAAGAAAUAGUAAAAAAGCAAAACUUUCAACAACGGAUCUCUUGGUUCUG